CAGUCGCCACGGGAAUACGUAGGUGGCAAGCGUUAUCCGGAAUUAUUGGGCGUAAAGCGCGCGUAGGCGGUUUUUUAAGUCUGAUGUGAAAGCCCACGGCUCGACCGUGGAGGGUCAUUGGAAACUGGAAAACUUGAGUGCAGAAGAGGAAAGUGGAAUUCCAUGUGUAGCGGUGAAAUGCGCAGAGAUAUGGAGGAACACCAGUGGCGAAGGCGACUUUCUGGUCUGUAACUGACGCUGAUGUGCAAAAGCGUGGGGAUCAAACAGGAUUAGAUACCCGCGUAGUCCCUGUCUCUUAUAC
rnacentral:rRNA from 1 species